AACGAACGCUGGCGGCAUGCCUAACACAUGCAAGUCGAACGAUACCUUCCGGUCUUGUUUCGUACGGGUGCGUAACUCGUGGGAACCUGCCUUUCGCUUCGGUAUCCCUCCCCGUUCGGGUUGAUAAUCCCGGGUAAUGUCUUCGAACCCAAGAUUUUUCGCCUUUGUCUGUGGCGGCGUGAGAUUAGCUUGUUGGUAGGGUAGGAGCCUACCAAGCCGCCGAUCCGUUUCUGGUUGGAGAGGUUGAUCAGCCACACUGGGACUGGGACACGGCCCAGACGACUACGGGAGGCAGGAGUGAGGAAUAAUGGACAAUGGGCGAAAGCCGGAUCGAGCAAUGCCGCGUGAGUGAUGAAGGCCUUAGGGAUGUAAAGCUCUUUUACCCGGGAUGAUAAUGACAGUACCGGGAGAAUAAGCGCCGGCUAACUCCGUG
rnacentral:rRNA from 1 species